rnacentral:lncRNA from 1 species
AUACAGUCUUUCUUAGGAAGCUAGGGAGGAUGUGCUGCCCCCGAACAGGGGACAGAACCCAAAAUGGGAAAUAGAUGAGUCAGAAAAUGAGGUUUCUACCAAGACACAAGGCAAAUGUGAUCUCUGGGAUGACAGCAAAGCAGAUCACAGAUGACACUGGGCACCAAAUACGGAGGCACUGGGACAGGUCGAGGGACACCGGGAGACGCUGUGGCGAAAAGAUAAAAAUGAUGGACCUUCGGACGCAUCAGAGGAGAUUGAGCAAAUUGGUGAGGUUUGGGGCUGGAUUCACUGUAAGCACAUAGAAACCAGACAAAUAGGGAGGAAGAGCAAGAAAGGAAAAGGAAAAUAAUCACAGUACACAAUAUAUAGCCUGGCAUGAAUAACAUCAUGUGUCAUCAUAAUAUAGAAACUGACUGCUGAUCUAACCACAAUUUUGAGAUGUCCAUAUUGGGAAUAUAAAGCACAGAAAUGCACAUUUGCAAGAUGUGGGGAGCAGUGAAAGACAGCAAAUCCUCGGCUUCUGCAGGGGAACGUCACAGACCACCCACCAUGCUUCUGGACCACUCACCUGAGAUGGGCCUAGUGCUGCAAUGGGCACGGAUGUGCCAGCUACGAACCACUCCCUACCCUGAUGCCAAUUAUCACUGAGUAGCUUCUUUUCUCUGAUGAACUUGCUUUUUCUGCAUAGCUUGUUUUUUCUCAGAAUACAGUCUACAGCAUCUGUGUCAUCAUUAUCCUGCCUACAGCUUCCAUGAAGUUUCUUUUUUCUUUUUUGGCCAUGCCCAUGGCACACAGAAGUUUCAGGGCCAGGGAUCAAACCUGCGCCACAGUUGCUACCGGAGCCACUGCAAUGACAACACGGGAUCCUUAGCCUUCUGUGCCACUAGGAAACUCCCUGUUAAGGUUCUUCAUCUGCCUGCCUAUCUGUCUUGAAGGUCAGGAAUGCUACAUUUUACAGUAAGUAGCAGACUGAUUAACUUGCUCUCUCUGCCCAAGGACGAAAGGACAACCUUCAAUGUUUCUGUAGUCUCACUUCUUUCUUCCACAGUGAGGAAAUCUGUACCCUAUUUCCCCACCUCACUGGUUACUCCCCCCGUGAGGAGAAAGAGUGGCCAGUUGGUUGGUACGUGUCAACAGGGGGUACCUCCAAAGUAAGAUGGCUCCACUUCCCUGCUUCCUAGACCUGGAUGUGUGGGGAUAGACAGAGCUCUCCUCUCCACUUCCUGUUGCUUCAGGCCAGCCUCUUCUCUCAGGUCCAGUUUCUCAGCAUGAGACUGGGUGGAUCUAUUGGAUCAGCCUUGCUGUCUUCAAUUCAAGGGGAAGGAAUAGAAAACUUCAUUUUGUAUAAUCUAGCUCGACCAAGAAGCCUUACACUGAAUAAACCUGAUACUUUGC